rnacentral:rRNA from 1 species
GGGUUGUGAGGUUAAGCGACUAAGCGUACACGGUGGAUGCCCUGGCAGUCAGAGGCGAUGAAGGGCGUGCUAAUCUGCGAUAAGCGCCGGUAAGGUGAUAUGAACCGUUAUAACCGGCGAUACCCGAAUGGGGAAACCCAGUGUGACUCGUCACACUAUCAUUAACUGAAUCCAUAGGUUAAUGAGGCGAACCGGGGGAACUGAAACAUCUAAGUACCCCGAGGAAAAGAAAUCAACCGAGAUUCCCCCAGUAGCGGCGAGCGAACGGGGAGGAGCCCAGAGCCUGAAUCAGCAUGUGUGUUAGUGGAAGCGUCUGGAAAGUCGCGCGAUACAGGGUGACAGCCCCGUACACAAAAGCGCAUGUGCUGUGAGCUCGAUGAGUAGGGCGGGACACGUGGUAUCCUGUCUGAAUAUGGGGGGACCAUCCUCCAAGGCUAAAUACUCCUGACUGACCGAUAGUGAACCAGUACCGUGAGGGAAAGGCGAAAAGAACCCCGGCGAGGGGAGUGAAAAAGAACCUGAAACCGUGUACGUACAAGCAGUGGGAGCCCCACCACCAAAGCAUUCUCUGGUGUUGAAGGCCCUGCAAAGCAGCAUCGCGGUGGCGGAGCGUCGUUUGCGACGCCCAACACACAAAACAAGCGAUGAGUGCUUUGGGGUGGGGUGACUGCGUACCUUUUGUAUAAUGGGUCAGCGACUUAUAUUCUGUAGCAAGGUUAACCGAAUAGGGGAGCCGGAGGGAAACCGAGUCUUAAUUGGGCGUUAAGUUGCAGGGUAUAGACCCGAAACCCGGUGAUCUAGCCAUGGGCAGGUUGAAGGUUGGGUAACACUAACUGGAGGACCGAACCGACUAAUGUUGAAAAAUUAGCGGAUGACCUGUGGCUGGGGGUGA